ensembl:lncRNA
UGCAGUGAUACGGCUGAAGUUUGUCCCAGCUCGCUUUCCAUCCCUCAGGCAGCUAGGCUUCACUCAGUGCCUCAAACAGGGAAGAAUCUCCAUCAACACCAGGGGAGUUGUGACUCACUUUGAAGUCUCUGUGUCGCAUUUACACUUAUGAUUAAACUCAAAAACACUGGAAUGUGGAGUUAGUCUGUUCAGCUGGUGUAGCUUAUUCAACAACUUUAACCUCCGAUAUUCAACAAGUAGGACUGCUCUCUCAGCAGCUCGACGCUUUAUACACAAAAGUUGCUCCAGUUUGUCCCUGUGGAGCACUUUGCAGUGAGUACCCUUCUCCUUCGGACAUCUAGGCUUCGAGCAGGCCGUGACUCUGUGGCCAUGAGGAAUCAUGGCGGAGCUGGAGGUGGAUCAGUCUAACCUGCCGCGGGUUCAGGAGGAUUUGUUGGACCUUGGUGAUCAC